rnacentral:rRNA from 1 species
AUUGAACGCUGGCGGCAGGCCUAACACAUGCAAGUCGAACGGUAACAGGAAGAAGCUUGCAUCUUUGCUGACGAGUGGCGGACGGGUGAGUAAUGUCUGGGAAACUGCCUGAUGGAGGGGGAUAACUACUGGAAACGGUAGCUAAUACCGCAUAACGUCGCAAGGCCAAAAAGGGGGACCUUCGGGCCUCUUGCCAUCGGAUGUGCCCAGAUGGGAUUAGCUAGUAGGUGGGGUAACGGCUCACCUAGGCGACGAUCCCUAGCUGGUCUGAGAGGAUGACCAGCCACACUGGAACUGAGACACGGUCCAGACUCCUACGGGAGGCAGCAGUGGGGAAUAUUGCACAAUGGGCGCAAGCCUGAUGCAGCCAUGCCGCGUGUAUGAAGAAGGCCUUCGGGUUGUAAAGUACUUUCAGCGGGGAGGAAGGGAGUAAAGUUAAUACCUUUGCUCAUUGACGUUACCCGCAGAAGAAGCACCGGCUAACUCCGUG